rnacentral:rRNA from 1 species
UCGGACUGUAGUCUGCAACCCGACUACACGAAGCUGGAAUCGCUAGUAAUCGCGAAUCAGAAUGUCGCGGUGAACACGUUCCCGGGUCUUGUACACACCGCCCGUCACACCAUGGGAGUCGGGAAUGCCCGAAGUCAGUGACCCAACCUAUUGGAGGGAGCUGCCGAAGGCAGGUCUGAUAACUGGGGUGAAGUCGUAACAAGGUAUC